rnacentral:rRNA from 1 species
GACGAACGCUGGCGGCGUGCUUAACACAUGCAAGUCGAACGGAAAGGCCCUGCUUUUGUGGGGUGCUCGAGUGGCGAACGGGUGAGUAACACGUGAGUAACCUGCCCUUGACUUUGGGAUAACUUCAGGAAACUGGGGCUAAUACCGGAUAGGAGCUCCUGCUGCAUGGUGGGGGUUGGAAAGUUUCGGCGGUUGGGGAUGGACUCGCGGCUUAUCAGCUUGUUGGUGGGGUAGUGGCUUACCAAGGCUUUGACGGGUAGCCGGCCUGAGAGGGGGACCGGCAAAAUUGGGACUGAGAUACGGCCCAGACUCCUACGGGAGGAAGCAGUGGGGAAUAUGGAAAAAUGGGCGGAAGCCUGAGGCAGCAACGCCGCGUGCGGGAUGACGGCCUUGGGGUUGUAAACCGCUUUCGCCUGUGACGAAGCGUGAGUGACGGUAAUGGGUAAAGAAGCACCGGCUAACUACGUG